UACGUAGGGCGCAAGCGUUAUCCGGAAUUAUUGGGCGUAAAGAGCUCGUAGGCGGUUUGUUGCGUCUGCCGUGAAAGUCCGGGGCUCAACUCCGGAUCUGCGGUGGGUACGGGCAGACUAGAGUGAUGUAGGGGAGACUGGAAUUCCUGGUGUAGCGGUGAAAUGCGCAGAUAUCAGGAGGAACACCGGUGGCGAAGGCAGGUCUCUGGGCAUUAACUGACGCUGAGGAGCGAAAGCGUGGGGAGCGAACAGG
rnacentral:rRNA from 1 species